GACGAACGCUGGCGGCGUGCUUAACACAUGCAAGUCGAACGGAAAGGCCCUGCUUUUGUGGGGUGCUCGAGUGGCGAACGGGUGAGUAACACGUGAGUAACCUGCCCUUGACUUUGGGAUAACUUCAGGAAACUGGGGCUAAUACCGGAUAGGAGCUCCUGCUGCAUGGUGGGGGUUGGAAAGUUUCGGCGGUUGGGGAUGGACUCGCGGCUUAUCAGCUUGUUGGUGGGGUAGUGGCUUACCAAGGCUGUGACGGGUAGCCGGCCUGAGAGGGUGACCGGCCACAUUGGGACUGAGAUACGGCCCAGACUCCUACGGGAGGCAGCAGUGGGGAAUAUUGCACAAUGGGCGGAAGCGUGAUGCAGCAACGCCGCGUGCGGGAUGACGGCCUUCGGGUUGUAAACCGCUUUCGCCUGAGACGAAGCGUGAGUGACGGUAAUGGGUAAAGAAGCACCGGCUAACUACGUG
rnacentral:rRNA from 1 species